rnacentral:rRNA from 1 species
UACGGAGGGUGCAAGCGUUAUCCGGAUUUACUGGGUUUAAAGGGUGCGUAGGUGGGUUGGUAAGUCAGUGGUGAAAUACUUUCGCUUAACGAAGGAACUGCCAUUGAUACUACCAGUCUUGAAUACAGUGGAGGUAGGCGGAAUGCGUCAUGUAGCGGUGAAAAUGCUUAGAUAUGACGCAGAACACCAAUUGCGAAGGCAGCUUGCUACACUGUUAUUGACACUGAGGCACGAAAAGCGUGGGGAUCAAACAGG